AGAGUAGUGGAGGUGGGGGUGAAGAGACAGCUUGAAAAGGAAAAAAGACAGCACAGGGGAGCCCUUCUGUUGCCAUUGCUCUGACCAGACGUGUCCCACACACAUGCACAUCCACACUCACCCACGCACACACAUGCACAAACAAACAACUUUGAGUCAUCAACGUGGGCACACAAGUGUUCGUCCUUACACAUGUUGAAAUUAUGAUUUGAAAGUUUGAAGCGUACACACAAGGGUUAUAAUGCGAAUGUGUUUGUUGGCAAUAGAAGGACAAGCAGGAGAUCAUCAACGCCAUUAUGAUAGAUUGUCUGGCCCUUCCUCUUGUGUGGGUCUGUGGGGUAGAUAAUCUGUCAAUUGCAACUGUGGCCCUCGGGGGCCCAUGUGCCGUAAGUUCUCGCAAGCUGGACCCCCGACUCCCUGUGAGUGAGACGGUACGCUGGCGAGCGAUCGACACACGAGCCCAUCCUUGACACCCCGAGUUGACACCAGGGCACAGACAGUGUGUCCAGGUUGAACAACACACACACACACGCACACACACGCACGCAAAGCAAAACUUCCAGCUUUUAACAACAUCCCCACCCCCAUGCCUCCUGUCUCUGCCCUCCUGCGACACACAUGCACCUCCUGUCCCCAUGUUUGCGACGCCCUUCACUUCCUGCAACACACACCCGAGCCUGCUCCGAGCCUCCGAACCCCCCCCCUGCCUUCACUGCAGCCCCAGCUCCCAAAGCCCAGGGAAGCAGCAGCCGUGCCGGACGGCCCGGCACCUCGGACCCCCUUUCAGCCCGUCCCCGGCCUCUUUGAAGUGGCUUCAGGACAGAGAGGUCAGCCUCGCCCCGGAGACCCGCAUAGAGCCAGCACGUUCUUCUUUGCGAAUCAACACAGUUUGUGUGAAAUAUGCUAAAUCUAGCUGAGAACUGCGAAGGCGUUGCUGGUGCAUCGUGGGGGAAUCUUUGGUGAAGGUGGACUCGAUCAGGCCGUUCAUGGGAGACAAGGACCGAGAAAGGUGAAGCCCCCACCGGGCUUUACUAAAAGCUGACUUUCUUGGCUGCUUGGUCCAGGUGUGGUCGGGGUAUUUGGACCUAUUAUUCGAUGCGGAGAGGGAAGAGGGAAGCUAACUGUACUCUUAUCGCUUCAACCUUUCAAUCUGUUUCUGCCUCAGAGGAGGGAUUGAUCUCAUCGGCCCAGAGCUGAGAGUCAAACAUCUGUCUGCCUCCCUCCACUCCCUCUUCCUCUUCCUCUGUCAGCCAGCCAGUGUCUCCCAAAUCGGCUCCCCUCUUGGUUGCCUGCAUUAGGGGCAUGAUGAGGGCAGCUGUGGUACGUGCCGGGGAUGAUUGUGAGGGCUCUUGGAUGGAUGGAUACAUGGUCUCAGUGUCCAUCAACACAUCAGGACAUUAUUUCUUAGUCUUGUCUCAAAAAAUGUUCCUCUAAUUCAACAAAAACUCCUUUUAUGUUCUGCGCUCAAAUAAGUGGCGGUCAAGCUAAAGAGAUAAGAACCACACGUUAUACAACUAUACAUUUAAAUUCAGAGCAACUUACAACUAAUGCAAAUACAUUUUAAUUCAAUAUGCAAAUUCUCCAGUAUAUUGAAGGCCAUCCGAAUCAGCUUUAUUGGUCACGUGUGCUUAUGCGUAGAUUGAAU
ensembl:lncRNA